CCCUUAGAUGUUCUGGGCUGCACGCGCGCUACAAUGACGCACGCAACAGGUGCCUGCUCCGAGAGGACUGGGUAAUCAUUUGAGUGUGCGUCGUGAUGGGGAUAGAAUAUUGUAAUUAUUACUCUUCAACGAGGAAUUCCUAGUAAGCGCCAGUCAGCAGCUUGCGCUGAUUACGUCCCUGCCCUUUGUACACACCGCCCGUCGCUCCUACCGAUGGGUGAUCCGGUGAAUGAUUCGGACUUCAGCGGCUCCCCUGGGGUGCGCCGGAGAAAGUUUUGUGAACCUUAUCACUUGGAGGAAGGAGAAGUCGUAACA
rnacentral:rRNA from 1 species